GCACAUGUUACCCAUGGUGCCUUGGGGCAGGGUCCCCCCCUUACCCAAGGUGCCCUAGGGCGGAGUGAUGGACACGUUACCCAUGGUGCCCUGGGGCAGGGUCCCCCCCCCUUACCCAAGGUGCCCUAAGGCAGAGGUGAUGGACACAUUACCCAUGGUGCCCUGGGGCAGGGUCCCCCCUUACCCAAGGUGCCCUAGGACAGGGGUGAUGGACACGUUACCCAUGGUGCCCUGGGGCAGGGUCCCCCCCCUUACCCAAGGUGCCCUAGGGCGGGGUGAUGGACACGUUACCCAUGGUGCCUGGGGCAGGGUCCCCCCUUACCCAAGGUGCCCUAGGACAGGGGUGAUGGACACGUUACCCAUGCUGCCCUGGGGUAGGGUCCCCCCUUACCCAAGGUGCCCUAGGGCAGGGGUGAUGGACACGUUACCCAUGCUGCCCUGGGGUAGGGUCCCCCCUUACCCAAGGUGCCCUAGGGCAGGGGUGAUGGGCAUCCAUUACCCA